CUUCCCGCCGCCGCCGCUGACUUCCGCCUGGUUUGAAUUCUCCGCUCCUUUGCCGACGCAUGUGGUCUUCAGUAUUAGCCGUCUGUCGGCUUUCAUCAACGUCUCCAACGUCUCCGGGCUGGAAUCCGACGGCGGAGGCGAGAUCCCGAUCCCGAUCUCGAUUUCCUCUCUACUUUGAUCUCUUUCCGGCCUCCUCCUCAGCUCCUCCUCCACUAUAUCUCCUUCUUCCUCUUCCUCCUCCUCGAGCUUCGCCGCUGCUCUCCUCCGCCGCCGCUUAUCGUC
rnacentral:lncRNA from 1 species